CCCAUGAGUUCCCUUUAACGCUUCAUUGUUGUUAAUACACCAAAAACACAUUUGUUUUAUUAAAAUGUUUGUUCGGUUUGUAUAUAACAACACUGAAGUGUUUGGGGGGACUCUUGGU
rnacentral:pre_miRNA from 1 species